CAAGGCGUUUGGUUCCAAAAACUAUCAAGUUUCAGUUCAACGAAGUCACAAUAACCCUUCAGUAACAAGAAGAAAAUACAAUAUAACUAAAACUACAUACCUUUAAGUCAUAUAUAUUAUUCACAACUGCAUGUCGACACAUUCAACCACACGAGCAAAGCUUUUCCUAGAAUUCCAACAUAGCAGUUCAAUAAAGCAUGUGCUGCUUUGAUCCAUCAUAUAGCCCAGUUGAACCUUCCACAGUUGACUUGGCUGUUCCCACCAAACACUUCAAUGGUAUCUCACAUUGAAGACUUGUUAUCGUCGACUUCAGUAAAGCAUCUCC
rnacentral:misc_RNA from 1 species